rnacentral:rRNA from 1 species
GCAUAUCAAUAAGCGGAGGAAAAGAAACCAACAGGGAUUGCCUCAGUAACGGCGAGUGAAGCGGCAACAGCUCAAAUUUGAAAUCUGGCCCCCCUCGGGGUCCGAGUUGUAAUUUGGAGAGGAUGCUUCGGGUGUGGCCCCGGUCUAAGUUCCUUGGAACAGGACGUCACAGAGGGUGAGAAUCCCGUACGUGCCCGGUGGUCGCCCCCGUGUGAAGCUCCUUCGACGAGUCGAGUUGUUUGGGAAUGCAGCUCAAAAUGGGUGGUAAAUUUCAUCUAAAGCUAAAUAUUGGCCAGAGACCGAUAGCGCACAAGUAGAGUGAUCGAAAGAUGAAAAGCACUUUGGAAAGAGAGUUAAACAGUACGUGAAAUUGUUGAAAGGGAAGCGCUGGCAACCAGACUUGCGCGGGGUCGAUCAUCCGGUGUUCGCACCGGUGCACUCGGCCCCGCGCAGGCCAGCAUCGGUCUGGGCGGCUGGAUAAAGGCCUUGGGAAUGUGGCUCUCUUCGGGGAGUGUUAUAGCCCAAGGUGCAAUGCAGCCCGCCUGGACCGAGGACCGCGCUCCGGCUAGGAUGCUGGCGUAAUGGUUGUCAGCGACCCGUCUUGAAACACGGACCAAGGAGUCUAACAUCUAUGCGAGUGUUUGGGUGUCAAACCCAUACGCGUAAUGAAAGUGAACGGAGGUGAGAACCCUUAAGGGUGCAUCAUCGACCGAUCCUGAUGUCUUCGGAUGGAUUUGAGUAAGAGCAUAGCUGUUGGGACCCGAAAGAUGGUGAACUAUGCCUGAAUAGGGUGAAGCCAGAGGAAACUCUGGUGGAGGCUCGCAGCGGUUCUGACGUGCAAAUCGAUCGUCAAAUUUGGGCAUAGGGGCGAAAGACUAAUCGAAC